rnacentral:rRNA from 1 species
UACGUAGGGCGCGAGCGUUGUCCGGAAUCAUUGGGCGUAAAGAGCUCGUAGGCGGCCGGUUGCGUCUGCUGUGAAAUCCCGGGGCUUAACCCCGGGCGUGCAGUGGAUACGGGCUGGCUGGAGGCAGGCAGGGGAGAAUGGAAUUCCCGGUGUAGCGGUGAAAUGCGUAGAUAUCGUAAGGAAGACCAGUGGCGAAGGCGGGUCUCUGGACAGUUCCGUGACGCUGAGGCACGAAGGCCAGGGGAGCAAACGGG